CCCUCAAGACAGUCCUUUUUUUUUCUAUAAGGGAAACAACUUUACUCAGCAUCAUGUGAACUGCGUAUUCCUCCAUUCAUACUUAGUGAAAUCGUGAGAUGCGGUCUGGUGUGAUGCAGGCUUCAGAAAAAGUCCACUGGCACUCACAACACGACACGCAAGAAUGGCACACUUACACAGAAACAAACACUUUAGAUUAAUUAAAUAAUUGUAAGUGAGGGAUGUCAUUUCUGGAGCACAUUAUUCUGUCUAGCGGUGAGUUUUUGCCAUAGUUAGUCUUGUGGCUUGAAAUAAAGAAGGUCCUAUGCUGUCUAAGCUGAUAAGGAGUAGUGGAAAAAUUGAUGUUGCUUGGAAGUUGAGGACAGUCAAUGUAGUCACAUCAUUUAUGUAAGCAAGUUGCAGCUGCAGCCGGUAUGAACCACAUCAACCGCAAAUUACACAAAGAGGGCGCUGUCGCAUAAAGGCUGCGGAAUUCAUUGGUUACAAGAACAAGGGUUAUGAAGAUAGAUGUCAUUGUACACAUCCUGGUAUGUACACACUAUAAUAUAGACAGAUUUCUAAUUUUGAAAGCAAAAAAAUAUAAUUUUUGAGUAGUAGAUUUAAAAUUGACAUAAUAAGCCAUAUACUCAUAAAUAACCAUUAAAUUCAUUUUAUUAUUUUUCCAUUUAAUGUUUAUUUACUAUUUUAUUAUUAUUUAACUUUGUUUAAAUGCCAGUUUCACAAGUACAUUAAGUUGGCCUUGACAGACAGCAUUUCUAGAAUAUAUAAUCACGCAUCUCAUACCGAGGACUUCUAUUUUAAAAACCAAUUUUACAAAAAAAAAUUUAAAAACUAUGCCCUAAUUGAAAGUGACCAUAUGGCACAAUUCUCCUUCUAAUUUUGAUAAAAAUUCAAACUGAUUUCCAUGACGACUUUGAUAUUUGCAGUGGUUAAAAAUAUUUGCCUAUUUUGACCAGUGUGCUAUUCUUGAUAUUUACUUGCGGAUAUCUAAUAUCUUAUUUAUUGUCGAAGAUAAAGAUUAUUCGUUUGUAAUUAAUAUAAUUACAGUUGAUUACUAUUCAACUGUUGAAGUUGUGCUUGUAUGCUGUUUUAUGUUUUGCUGUUUUCAUCAUUGAUGCUUGCAUUGGUGGUUUAAUCUAAAUUUCUGUACAUCGUAAUCCAGAAAUUUAAGUAAAUUUCAUUCUUGGAAUUUUUUUUUCCUCAUUUUACAACAUAAAUGUAAGUACAAUUUUUUAAUACUAGUUGAUAUUAUUUAGCAUAGUUGGGUAAUGCAUGUUUUGGAGAAAAAAAAAUAUAUAUCUGACAUCUCAAGCAUUCAUCUUGCUAUUGAUAUCAUUUGGCAAUAAACCAUUAAAAAUUACCAAUUUAUUGACAAUAUUUUAGUAAUAUUAUAAAUUUCCAGAGACAUAGUGUUACUGUGCUAUUUACGUGUUAAUAUUGUCAAACAUUGAAAAAAUAUAAAAUACU